UACAGAGGUGGCAAGCGUUGUUCGGAAUUACUGGGCGUAAAGGGCGCGUAGGCGGUCUUGUAAGUCCCGUGUGAAAGCCCCCGGCUCAACUGGGGAACGGCACGGGAAACUGCGAGGCUUGAGUUCGGGAGAGGGAAGCGGAAUUCCGGGUGUAGCGGUGAAAUGCGUAGAUAUCCGGAGGAACACCAGUGGCGAAGGCGGCUUCCUGGACCGAUACUGACGAUGAGGCGCGAAAGCUAGGGGAGCAAACGGG
rnacentral:rRNA from 1 species